UACAGAGGUCUCAAGCGUUGUUCGGAUUCAUUGGGCGUAACGGGUGCGUAGGCGGCGCGGUAAGUCGGGUGUGAAAUCUCGGAGCUUAACUCCGAAACUGCAUUCGAUACUGCCGUGCUUGAGGACUGGAGAGGAGACUGGAAUUUACGGUGUAGCGGUGAAAUGCGUAGAUAUCGUAAGGAAGACCAGUGGCGAAGGCGGGUCUCUGGACAGUUCCUGACGCUGAGGCGCGAAAGCGUGGGGAGCAAACAGG
rnacentral:rRNA from 1 species